CAACUAAGGGCCUGAUCCAAAGUCCACUGAUUUCAAUGGGAGCCUUUCUAUUGAAUUCAGUGGACUUUAGAUCAGGCCUUGAGUG
rnacentral:pre_miRNA from 1 species